GGAGUCGGCCAGGCAGCCGCUGUCCGCCGGUUUUUGCGGCGGCAUAGAGGAAAGUCCGGGCUCCGCAGAGCGGGAUGCAGGGUAACCCCCUGGCACGGCGACGUGACGAACAGGGCCACAGAGACGAGUCCUCGGCCCAAAGCCGAGGGGUGAAACGCGGCAACCUCCAUCCGGAGCAACACCAAAUAGGCAGGCGAUCGAGGCCGGCUCGGCCGAGGCUUGCGGGUAGGUGGCUAGAGCCCCGGGGCAACCCGGGGACCAGAGGAAUGGCU
rnacentral:RNase_P_RNA from 1 species